UACAGAGGUCUCAAGCGUUGCUCGGAUUUAUUGGGCGUAAAGGGUGCGUAGGUGGUACCGAAAGUUAGGUGUGAAAGUUCAAGGCUCAACCUCGAAAUUGCACCUAAUACUCCGGUGCUCGAGUCUCAUAGAGGAAUCUGGAAUUCACGGUGUAGCAGUGAAAUGCGUAGAUAUCAGGAAGAACACCCGUGGCUAAGGCGGCUCUCUAGUACGGUACUGACGCUGAGACGCGAAAGCGUGGGGAGCGAACAGG
rnacentral:rRNA from 1 species